AUGGCAAAUGGCGUUUAUUGUCAAGUAGCACAGCAUUAUAUGGCUUGGGUUUUACAACGUCACUUCCGCCCGCUUACAUCAUAAGCGAAGUUAAACGCUAUUGGCUAUCAGAAAGGUCAGGGGAGGGGCUCUCUCUUUCCGUACAGCGCGAUGUCUUCCGGCCGCCGGACCCUACCUACCUACAUUCCCCCCUCCUUAUGCAAAAUUAAAUUGGCUAAAAUAUAACGAUCUUAAAAAAUAUAUCGUAAACUCGGAUACAAACGUACCAAACGUAUGCUGUUCUCAUUCUAUGUUCUAUAACAACCUCGAAAUACGUAUCACAAACUUGAAUAGAAAACGUAAGGCACGCUAAGUGAAAGGUAACCGGGAGGUGACUGGGAGCAGUGGGGUACAAUUGGGGGUAGCUAAAGGAAACUCUAAACAAAAACACUUUUAAGGCAAUUGUCGGCGUUCUAUUAACAGAAUGUUAACUUCUUCUAGCCGGUUCUUAACAAAUGAUAUGAGCUUGUUCAAUAUACAGGGUCCAAAACCCAAUGCUAUCACGAUCAUUGCGAUUGGUCCUAUCAAGGUGGAUACCAGGGUGGUCAGCCAUGGUGAAUGGUUAAACCAUGACGUAAACCAACUUUGCCGUGCCUCUCGUUCCCUUUUUUGUUCUUCUAAACCUUCUCGCAAUUUGGCCAUAGUGUCUCUUACCGUUCCGCUGUGGUCCGCACACACACAACGCUCUUCCCCUAGUGUGGCGCACGCUCCCCCUUGCCGUACAAACAUCAGGUCUAAUCCUCUUCGAUUUUGCAACACUACUUCAGAUAGUGAUCUGAUUGAUUUCUCUAAUGCACUUAUCGAUUGUUCAAUUCUAGCUGAGUCUUCAUCUACCGCUGUCCUCAAUGUGCUCAAUGCUUUAUUCUGUUGCACCGAUGCCACUCCUGUACCCACUCCCGCACCUCCUAUGAUCACAAGAGUAGCUAUUGUCAAUGCUGUAAAGGGUUCUCGUUUUGAUGAUGUUCUAAGGGAAUUUGUGAGUCACAGGCGUAGGCAAAGUCUUCGGCACGGUAAAAGAUUUUUGGGACUAUAGUUACCUGGACCCAACAUUCUGAGGCUUUAUUAAAUUUGCCCAACGACAAACGAGGUGUAAUUCCCAUCAUAGAACAAACCAACUCGGUAUUGUUGGCCGGAAUUAACCACCUUGCAGAGGUUUCUUGUGUCUUAUUGACACACAGUUGUUGUUUUGUGCUCUGGGACUUUACCUACACACACACCACUACCUACCACGUGCGCUAAUGUAAUCCCUUGUUUUUCUGUGUCCCGUUUACAUUGGGUCGGAUUUGUUUCAUGUGUAUACGUGGGGGUGUCGCUCGCUCCUACAGCCUCAUAAAAGGGUGGUUUCAUGCUGUAGCACAACCAACAACGCUCCGUAAGAUUCGGGUGAGUUUCGUUCAGUAAUUGCUCGCAUCGUUUUUCAGAGAGGGUUUCCAUCAGAAAUUUGGGUGCUGCGUGUCGGUACAGGUGCGGUAACUCCGGCAUUAUUCACGAUUGAUUUUGAUAGAGGCGUGCUCAUUUGUGGGUUAAGAAUCGGGUCAGGCCCGACCGCCUGGGGUGCUUGUGGCAGCAGUUUAAUGAUUUGUAUCACUACUCCUACGUCGGUAAAAGCUUUGUGAAUGAACACUGACCACACUUUUCCCACGGCCCAACCCUUAUCAGUCGGGUUUUUGAUUUCUAAAAUCAAAUGGGUACAAGAACCUUUGUGAUGUAUCAUUCCAUCGCUAGCAAAUUUUGGACGGUCACACUCAUUUGGUCCCCACGUUACCCGCAAAAAAUUGUCUUCUCUCUCUGGUUUCCAUCUAUCACUUGUUACAAUGGUCUCGCAUCCCCAAUAUCCACAAAACCAAUAUCCCGGAUAGUUACAAUAGCUUUUCCCUGGGUUUGAGCUGGGGCACCAAUAUGUUCCCCACAAGGAUUUAGAUUUGGAUCCUCCCACCAUGGGGAACAAGUCGCCCACCGUUACGGUAAAAAUCGGGGCACCUGCUGUUGUGUUUUCCUUUAGCACCCGAUCGUCGUUUCUAGGGUCUCGCAAGACCCACCGGAAUGGCUGAUGGGGAUGAUGCUCCGAUCCUGCCUGUCUUACAGUAACAAGUCCUAAGAUCAGGAUCACGCAAAGGCAUCGUGGCCCCCCCCCAUGGGGGCUAUUUUUGGGUUGUUUGGGUUUUACCGGCGCGGAACUCCCAGGUGCGGGCAGGAUGCUUGUCGACUUGUCGCCUUCAUUUGUCGCUGGGGCACACGGGUUACGAGGGCGUCCGACAAUCCAGUUCUGCUUCCAUCCUCCUUGCUGGUCCGGGAGCGUCCUCCCCGCCGGGCUGGUCCUGCCGCUCCGGCCGCCGUUCACCCGACUCCAGGCGACGAAUUCCCAGGUUUCGGCACCACUUGUUGCCUUCUGAGGCGUGGCGGCCUGGCUCAGGAACGGCACGGCGACCAACCCCAGGCCGCUCGGGCCAUCAGCUCACAGACACCAAUGUGGUGGAU
rnacentral:lncRNA from 1 species